rnacentral:rRNA from 1 species
GAUGAACGCUGGCGGCGUGCCUAAUACAUGCAAGUCGAGCGAACAGAUAAGGAGCUUGCUCCUCUGACGUUAGCGGCGGACGGGUGAGUAACACGUGGGUAACCUACCUAUAAGACUGGGAUAACUUCGGGAAACCGGAGCUAAUACCGGAUAAUAUUUCGAACCGCAUGGUUCGAUAGUGAAAGAUGGUUUUGCUGUCACUUAUAGAUGGACCCGCGCCGUAUUAGCUAGUUGGUAAGGUAACGGCUUACCAAGGCGACGAUACGUAGCCGACCUGAGAGGGUGAUCGGCCACACUGGAACUGAGACACGGUCCAGACUCCUACGGGAGGCAGCAGUAGGGAAUCUUCCGCAAUGGGCGAAAGCCUGACGGAGCAACGCCGCGUGAGUGAUGAAGGUCUUCGGAUCGUAAAACUCUGUUAUUAGGGAAGAACAUACGUGUAAGUAACUGUGCACGUCUUGACGGUACCUAAUCAGAAAGCCACGGCUAACUACGUG